rfam:Eimeria maxima Weybridge genomic scaffold, Emw_scaff1681
ACUUAGGCUUCUCUAGAAGCCACCAUUUAUUUAUUUUUUUUCUUCU